rnacentral:rRNA from 1 species
UACGGAGGGUGCAAACGUUGUUCGGAAUCAUUGGGCGUAAAGCGCGCGUAGGCGGCCGAUCAGGUCGGGUGUGAAAGCCCGGGGCUCAACCCCGGAACUGCGCUCGAAACCGGUCGGCUCGAGUCCCGGAGGGAGAAGUGGAAUUCCAGGUGUAGGGGUGAAAUCCGUAGAUAUCUGGAGGAACACCAGUGGCGAAGGCGACUUCUUGGCCGAGGACUGACGCUGAGGUGCGAAAGCGUGGGGAGCAAAC